ACGGGUGAGUAACACGUGAGCAACCUGCCCCUGACUCUGGGAUAAGCGCUGGAAACGGCGUCUAAUACUGGAUACGAGUAGCGACCGCAUGGUCAGUUACUGGAAAGAUUUAUUGGUUGGGGAUGGGCUCGCGGCCUAUCAGCUUGUUGGUGAGGUAAUGGCUCACCAAGGCGUCGACGGGUAGCCGGCCUGAGAGGGUGACCGGCCACACUGGGACUGAGACACGGCCCAGACUCCUACGGGAGGCAGCAGUGGGGAAUAUUGCACAAUGGGCGCAAGCCUGAUGCAGCAACGCCGCGUGAGGGAUGACGGCCUUCGGGUUGUAAACCUCUUUUAGCAGGGAAGAAGCGAAAGUGACGGUACCUGCAGAAAAAGCGCCGGCUAACUACGUGCCAGCAGCCGCGGUAAUACGUAGGGCGCAAGCGUUAUCCGGAAUUAUUGGGCGUAAAGAGCUCGUAGGCGGUUUGUCGCGUCUGCUGUGAAAUCCGGAGGCUCAACCUCCGGCCUGCAGUGGGUACGGGCAGACUAGAGUGCGGUAGGGGAGAUUGGAAUUCCUGGUGUAGCGGUGGAAUGCGCAGA
rnacentral:rRNA from 13 species